CCCGCUGAACUUAAGCAUAUCAAUAAGCGGAGGAAAAGAAACCAACAGGGAUUGCCCUAGUAACGGCGAGUGAAGCGGCAACAGCUCAAAUUUGAAAUCUGGCUUUGGCCCGAGUUGUAAUUUGCAGAGGAAGCUUCUGGCAACGCGCCGUCCGAGUCCCCUGGAACGGGGCGCCAUAGAGGGUGAGAGCCCCGUAUGGACGGAUGUCUAGCCUGUGUGAAGCUCCUUCGACGAGUCGAGUAGUUUGGGAAUGCUGCUCAAAAUGGGAGGUAAAUUCCUUCUAAAGCUAAAUAUUGGCCAGAGACCGAUAGCGCACAAGUAGAGUGAUCGAAAGAUGAAAAGCACUUUGAAAAGGGGGUUAAACAGCACGUGAAAUUGUUGAAAGGGAAGCGCUUGUGACCAGACUUGCGCCUGGCUGAUCAUCCGGUGUUCUCACCGGUGCACUCUGCCAGGCUCAGGCCAGCAUCGGUUUUCGUGGGGGGAUAAAGGUCUCGGGAACGUAGCUCCUCCGGGAGUGUUAUAGCCCGGGGCGUAAUGCCCUCGCGGGGACCGAGGUUCGCGCAUCUGCAAGGAUGCUGGCGUAAUGGUCAUCAGCGACCCGUCUUGAAACACGG
rnacentral:rRNA from 1 species